AUUGAACGCUGGCGGCAGGCUUAACACAUGCAAGUCGAGCGGGGUGAUGGUGCUUGCACUAUCACUUAGCGGCGGACGGGUGAGUAAUGCUUAGGAAUCUGCCUAUUAGUGGGGGACAACAUCUCGAAAGGGAUGCUAAUACCGCAUACGUCCUACGGGAGAAAGCAGGGGAUCACUUGUGACCUUGCGCUAAUAGAUGAGCCUAAGUCGGAUUAGCUAGUUGGUGGGGUAAAGGCCUACCAAGGCGACAAUCUGUAGCGGGUCUGAGAGGAUGAACCGCCACACUGGGACUGAGACACGGCCCAGACUCCUACGGGAGGCAGCAGUGGGGAAUAUUGGACAAUGGGGGGAACCCUGAUCCAGCCAUGCCGCGUGUGUGAAGAAGGCCUUAUGGUUGUAAAGCACUUUAAGCGAGGAGGAGGCUCUUUUGGUUAAUACCCAAGAUGAGUGGACGUUACUCGCAGAAUAAGCACCGGCUAACUCUGUGCCAGCAGCCGCCGUAA
rnacentral:rRNA from 1 species